GAUGAACGCUGGCGGCGUGCCUAAUACAUGCAAGUCGAGCGAACAGACGAGGAGCUUGCUCCUCUGAAGUUAGCGGCGGACGGGUGAGUAACACGUGGAUAACCUACCUAUAAGACUGGGAUAACUUCGGGAAACCGGAGCUAAUACCGGAUAAUAUAUUGAACCGCAUGGUUCAAUAGUGAAAGACGGUUUUGCUGUCACUUAUAGAUGGAACCGCGCCGCAUUAGCUAGUUGGUAAGGUAACGGCUUACCAAGGCAACGAUGCGUAGCCGACCUGAGAGGGUGAUCAGCCACACUGGAACUGAGACACGGUCCAGACUCCUACGGGAGGCAGCAGUAGGGAAUCUUCCGCAAUGGGCGAAAGCCUGACGGAGCAACGCCGCGUGAGUGAUGAAGGUCUUCGGAUCGUAAAACUCUGUUAUUAGGGAAGAACAAAUGUGUAAGUAACUAUGCACGUCUUGACGGUACCUAAUCAGAAAGCCACGGCUAACUACGUG
rnacentral:rRNA from 1 species